UUAAGCAUAUCAAUAAGCGGAGGAAAAGAAACUAACAAGGAUUCCCCUAGUAGCGGCGAGCGAAGCGGGAAGAGCUCAAAUUUAUAAUCUGGCACCUUCGGUGUCCGAGUUGUAAUCUCUAGAAAUGUUUUCCGCGUUGGACCGCACACAAGUCUGUUGGAAUACAGCGGCAUAGUGGUGAGACCCCCGUAUAUGGUGCGGACGCCCAGCGCUUUGUGAUACAUUUUCGAAGAGUCGAGUUGUUUGGGAAUGCAGCUCAAAUUGGGUGGUAAAUUCCAUCUAAAGCUAAAUAUUGGCGAGAGACCGAUAGCGAACAAGUACCGUGAGGGAAAGAUGAAAAGCACUUUGGAAAGAGAGUUAACAGUACGUGAAAUUGUUGGAAGGGAAACGCUUGAAGUCAGACUUGCUUGCCGAGCAAUCGGUUUGCAGGCCAGCAUCAGUUUUCCGGGAUGGAUAAUGGUAGAGAGAAGGUAGCAGUUUCGGCUGUGUUAUAGCUCUCUGCUGGAUACAUCUUGGGGGACUGAGGAACGCAGUGUGCCUUUGGCGGGGGUUUCGACCUCUUCACACUUAGGAUGCUGGUGGAAUGGCUUUAAACGACCCGUCUUGAAACACGGACCAAGGAGUCUAACAUGCUUGCGAGUAUUUGGGUGUCAAACCCGGAUGCGUAAUGAAAGUGAAUGGAGGUGGGAACCGCAAGGUGCACCAUCGACCGAUCUGGAUUUUUAAUGAUGGAUUUGAGUAAGAGCACGUAUGUUGGGACCCGAAAGAUGGUGAACUAUGCCUGAAUAGGGCGAAGCCAGAGGAAACUCUGGUGGAGGCUCGUAGCGGUUCUGACGUGCAAAUCGAUCGUCAAAUU
rnacentral:rRNA from 1 species